UUCGCAUUAUGGCCCCUGUGAAUUUUUUAAAUAUGAAAGUUUUUGUACAAUAAAAUUGAUUUUUAGAUAAUUGAAGAAUAAUAUAGCCUUCUUAGUGGGUUUAUAUGAACAUUUUGAUUAUUUUUAACAUGUUUUAUAGGCCAUUUAUAUGAUUGACAGUCCGUAUUUUCCUAUCCGUACCGUUCAUAGGUCCAUAAAUUAUUGUAGUGUUUAUCAACAAAGAUUUUGCGCUCGAUCUUUUCAAUUCAAUUUUAUGGAAAAACGAGCAGAUAAGCAUAUGAUUUUUUUUGGACCACUUGAUAGAUAUAAACCUAUGGAUUCAGGAAAGGUAUCACUGUAAUUGAUUGAAAUUUUCCUUUAGACCAAAUUUUGGAGACUUUUGUGACAUGUUCACCCCCCUUUUUUGCUAUAUUUUGUAUCUAAGAAAUGCAGAUUGUUGCCAUGGUUACACCCAAGAGGGUUUAUAUUUCACCCUUAUGACCAUUAGAAAUGAAAUCUAUGGAAGAUUCUCUUUCUAUAAGUAUAUACAUGCAUAACACACAUAUAAAGCCUUCUUUGUUAGACAGGAGGGGAAAGAGGAUGUUUAAAAAUUAUGAGUGUCAAUUUUAAGUUUUUUUCCU
rnacentral:lncRNA from 1 species